UGCGUAGGCGGUUUGAUAAGUCAGUGGUGAAAACCUUCAGCUUAACUGGAGACUUGCCAUUGAUACUGUUAGUCUUGAGUACGGUCAAGGUAGGCGGAAUGUGUAAUGUAGCGGUGAAAUGCUUAGAUAUUACACAGAACACCGAUUGCGAAGGCAGCUUACUGGGCCAUUACUGACGCUGAGGCACGAAAGCGUGGGGAGCGAACAGGAUUAGAUACCCUGGUAGUCC
rnacentral:rRNA from 1 species